rnacentral:rRNA from 1 species
AGUUUAAUGCACUUCUUAUUAAAUACUUUCUGCUCAAUGAUUACUUAUAAUUAAAUAGCCGCAGUACUUUGACUGUGCUAAGGUAGCAUAAUAACUUGGCCUAUAAUUGAGGUCUAGAAUGAAAGGGAGCACCUGUGAGUAACUGUCUUAUUAAAGCUAUUCUGAAAUUUUUUAUUAGGUGUAAAUACCUAAAAAAACACAUUAGACGAGAAGACCCUUAGAGUUUUUAUUACUAUUUACCAUAAUAUUUUUGUUGGGGCAACAUAGGAACAACGUAUCUUCCUAAAUGUACAGAAUAACAUGCCGAGUUUGUAUUAUGACUGAUUACAGCUACCUAAGGGAUAACAGCAUUAUCUUCAAUAAGGAUUGUGACCUCGAUGUUGGAUUAGGUAAAUUUGGUAUAAGUAAUAUCAUCUAAAAGCUCUGUUCGAGCUUAAGCACCU